rnacentral:rRNA from 1 species
UAGGGAAUCUUCCGCAAUGGGCGAAAGCUUGACGGAGCAACGCCGCGUGAGUGAUGAAGGUCUUAGGAUUGUAAAACUCUGUUAUUAGGGAAGAACAAAUGUGUAAGUAACUAUGCACGUCUUGACGGUACCUAAUCAGAAAGCCACGGCUAACUACGUGCCAGCAGCCGCGGUAAUACGUAGGUGGCAAGCGUUAUCCGGAAUUAUUGGGCGUAAAGCGCGCGUAGGCGGUUUUUUAAGUCUGAUGUGAAAGCCCACGGCUCAACCGUGGAGGGUCAUUGGAAACUGGAAAACUUGAGUGCAGAAGAGGAAAGUGGAAUUCCAUGUGUAGCGGUGAAAUGCGCAGAGAUAUGGAGGAACACCAGUGGCGAAGGCGACUUUCUGGUCUGUAACUGACGCUGAUGUGCGAAAGCGUGGGGAUCAAACAGG